rnacentral:lncRNA from 1 species
CUUGCAUUAUUUACAAUUAAAACCAUUAUUAGGAGAAACGGAGAAGUGCAUCUGUAUGAAAGAAAACACAAGGAAGUAUUUACUCAAACAAGUCUAGCCCGGAGUGGUGACCCAUGCCUGUAAUACCAGCAACCGGAAGGCUGAGACAGGAGGAUCACCGCGAGUCCGAGGCUGGGCUACAAAGUGAGUUCAAAGCCAGCCUGGAAGAUUCUUUUCCUUGUAGACUUGAACAGCUUCACAGUUCCAGUAGACAGAAGUUACAGAAUAAAAGGCCUCAAAUCAUCAAACCACCAGUGUGCAAAUUGGAGGUGACUACCAAUGUUGCUUACAUCAGUUCAAGACUCCUUUGACCAUUAAAGGCUUAUCUUCAAUAUAAAAACACAUUGAGAGAAGAGGAGAACAAACUCAGGUAAGAUAGAAAUGGA